CUCUUUCUCUUUCGCUUGAUUCUCAUCUUGCUUCCAGAAAUUAAAGCCGUAGCCUCACCGGCAAAGUGCUACACUCUGGCUGACUUCCCUUUCUCCUCUCGCUCUAUUCUCUAUUUAGCAUGAAACCUGAUAUCCAACAUGGGAGGGUAGGAAGAAACAACAGUGCUUACUUCGCAACUCUUUUAUUCCUUCAAAAAUCCCGCUUCCUGGAAAAUAUAUUGUCUGGUUUUUGAAGUUUCUCCUCCAAGAUGUUUUCAAAUCGAAAUGAGUCCGGAGCGCCCGUUGGAAAAUCGAAGGUUAGAAAUGGUUUUUAUUUUGGAUGGAUGCAGGCAAAUAUAAUGUUUGAAUUUUGAAGUUCCUCCCCCAAGAUGUCGUCAAACAAAAGCACAAGCACAAGUGAAAACCCUGCAAAAGGCCAUGCAUGCGAUGCAGUGGCGAGUUAUGGCGAGAAAUAUGUAAAGGUAAGUUUGAUGAUGUGUUUCCUAAGAUUUUGUCUAAGUGAGGCGAGUCCGUAUGGACGACUGACAACGUAUUUCCUCUUUCCUCUCCCAAGGC